CAGUCGAGCGCGGGAAGCGAGUGGAUCCCUUCGGGGUGAAGCUCGUGGAACGAGCGGCGGACGGGUGAGUAACACGUGGGCAACCUGCCUGUAAGAUCGGAAUAACCCCGGGAAACCGGGGCUAAUGCCGGGUAAUACUUUCUUUCGCAUGAAGGAAAGUUGAAAGAUGGCUUCUUGCUAUCACUUACAGAUGGGCCCGCGGCGCAUUAGCUAGUUGGUGAGGUAACGGCUCACCAAGGCGACGAUGCGUAGCCGACCUGAGAGGGUGAUCGGCCACACUGGGACUGAGACACGGCCCAGACUCCUACGGGAGGCAGCAGUAGGGAAUCUUCCGCAAUGGACGAAAGUCUGACGGAGCAACGCCGCGUGAACGAUGAAGGUCUUCGGAUCGUAAAGUUCUGUUGUUAGGGAAGAACAAGUACCGUUCAAACAGGGCGGUACCUUGACGGUACCUAACGAGGAAGCCCCGGCUAACUACGUGCCAGCAGCCGCGGUAAUACGUAGGGGGCAAGCGUUGUCCGGAAUUAUUGGGCGUAAAGCGCGCGCAGGCGGUUCCUUAAGUCUGAUGUGAAAGCCCACGGCUCAACCGUGGAGGGUCAUUGGAAACUGGGGAACUUGAGGACAGAAGAGGAGAGUGGAAUUCCACGUGUAGCGGUGAAAUGCGU
rnacentral:rRNA from 1 species